rnacentral:rRNA from 1 species
AGGGGUUUGAUCAUGGGGGCUCAGAUUGAACGUUGGCGGCAGGCCUAAUACAUGCAAGUCGAACGGUAACAGCGGAGCUUGCUCCGGCUGACGAGUGGCGGACGGGUGAGUAACGCGUAGGAAUCUACCCAGUAGCGGGGGAUAGCCCGAGGAAACUCGGAUUAAUACCGCAUACGCCCCACGGGGGAAAGGCCGGGAUCUCUUCGGAGACCGGUCACUAUUGGAGGAGCCUGCGUUGGAUUAGCUUGUUGGUGAGGUAAAAGCUCACCAAGGCGACGAUCCAUAGCUGGUCUGAGAGGACGAUCAGCCACACUGGAACUGAGACACGGUCCAGACUCCUACGGGAGGCAGCAGUAGGGAAUAUUGUGCAAUGGGGGAAACCCUGACACAGCCAUGCCGCGUGUGUGAAGAAGGCCCUAGGGUUGUAAAGCACUUUCAGCAGGGAGGAAUUAGCACGGAUAAUACCCGUGUCAAAUGACGUUACCUGCAGAGAGUACCGGCUAACUCCGUGCCAGCAGCCGCGGUAAUACGGAGGGUACAAACGUUAUCGGAUUACUGGCGUAAAGCGCGCGUAGGUGUUUAUUAAGUGGGAUGUGAAGCCCCGGCUUACCUGGACUGCAUUCAACUGAUGACUAGAGUACGAUAGAGGGGGUAGAAUUCAGA